UCAACGGUAGGACCUCCAUGGCCAAUGGUGGGGUUGGUGUCCAUGGUGAGACCUCUGUGGCCAAUGGUGGGGUCUCCAUGGCCAAUGGUGGGGUUGGUGUCCAUGGUGAGACCUCUUUGGCCAAUGGUGGGGUCUCCAUGGCCAAUGGUGGGGUUGGCAUCCAUGGUGAGACCUCCAUGGCCAAUGGUGGGGUUGGCGUCAAUGGUGGAACCUCUAUGGUCAAUGGUGGGGUGUCCAUGGCCAACGGUGGCACCUCCAUCGCCGAUGACGCCGUUGGCAUCGCCGAUGAUGGCACCCAUGGCACCAAAAGACAGCGCUGUGGUGACUGUGGGAAGACAUCCUCACGGCAAUGCCACUGGGAACGGCACCGGUGCACCCAUGGC
rnacentral:lncRNA from 1 species